AAAGGGGGCUUCUGUCGUGAGUGGCACACGUAGAGCGGCUCUGUUUGCUCUGCGUGCGGAAUCAACAUCAAGAGAGUUACGAAGCAUAAUUUUUUUGAAUUUUGGGCAGCUGGUGAUCAUUGGUCCUAGCGCCUUU